UUAGCCAAACUGCCACUGGUGACACCUCACACUCAGUGCCGGUUAAAAUUACUGAAGUUAGAGAGAAUUAAAGACUAUCUUCUCAUGGAGGAAGAAUUCAUUAGAAAUCAGGAACAAAUGAAACCAUUAGAAGAAAAGCAAGAGGAGGAAAGAUCAAAAGUGGAUGAUCUGAGGGGGACCCCGAUGUCAGUAGGAACCUUGGAAGAGAUCAUUGAUGACAAUCAUGCCAUCGUGUCUACAUCUGUGGGCUCAGAACACUACGUCAGCAUUCUUUCAUUUGUAGACAAGGAUCUGCUGGAACCUGGCUGCUCGGUCCUGCUCAAUCACAAGGUGCAUGCUGUGAUAGGGGUGCUGAUGGAUGACACGGAUCCCCUGGUCACAGUGAUGAAGGUGGAAAAGCCCCCCCCAGGAGACCUAUGCGGAUAUUGGGGGGUUGGACAACCAAAUUCAGGAAAUUAAGGAAUCUGUGGAGCUUCCUCUCACCCAUCCUGAAUAUUAUGAAGAGAUGGGUAUAAAGCCUCCUAGGGGGUCAUUCUCUAUGGUCCACCUGGCACAGGUAAAACCUUGUUAGCCAAAGCUGUAGAAAUCUAUUAUUUUACAAAAAUUUCUGUUACCUUUAGAGUACAUAGGUAG